rnacentral:lncRNA from 1 species
GGUAGCCCCGAGAGCGGGACGCAGAAGCCGGCUGGCGGGGAAGAGGAUGCCACUCUAAAUACAGCUGCUCCAGGGGAGUCGCAUCCCUCGAGGGGCUUCUUAGCUGGAGAGGGAGCCCGAAAGGAGGGUGGACAGGCCCUGUCCUCCAGGAAUCCUGCCCCGUAGAGCCCGGCACGGUCCAGAACGCAGAUGGGGGUGGGGAGAACAACCGGAGACCCGACAGGACAGCGGGAGGAGGAAUCCAAGGGGCGGGCCUAGGGGCUCGGCUCCGCCCCUCCAGGCUGCCCCAGGCCCGUCCCAGCAGCUCCAGGGGUGAACAGCCUGCUGGCUAAUUAUAGACCUGAAUGGAAAGCGGCGCUUUUGAAUGAUCUUGUUGCUCGCACUGCCUUCAGAGUCUGAGGAGCAGGUGCGGCCCUGCUAUAUACAAAGUGAUUCAUUUAAAAGCCCUCUGUCACGUACGCUCACUUACUGACACACAGGAAUCCUUGUGCGCUCCACCACCCAAAGGAUUCCAGAACUGGCUUAAAAGAACUUGAGCUCAGGGCAGAAACCAAGCGACUAUUGGAACAACUUCACCACUCCUUAGUAGUCUCGCAGAGUAGAUGAGAGAGGGUACUAGGCCUUUCUCAAAAUGUUGAAAAGUAGGGUCUUUGCAAUUUACAGCUGGAGAAACGGAGGCUGAGACAGAGUUUUGAGACGUGUCUGUGAGAGCGGGAAGUCAGUGUGAAGCUAAAGAGAAGCAUGGGGUCCUGCCAGCCCCUUCCUCUGCCUGCCCAGACUGGAGCUUAACGUCUCCCAUCCUGAACCUCUGGCACGGAAGAACACCCCUCCUUCUAGAAUACCCCUCUUUCCUGAGUGUGGCACCUACCCGUUGCACCUCCCAUCCCUGAAUCCCACCAGUAAA